rnacentral:rRNA from 1 species
UGGGGAAUAUUGCGCAAUGGGCGAAAGCCUGACGCAGCGACGCCGCGUGAGGGAUGACGGCCUUCGGGUUGUAAACCUCUUUCAGCAGGGACGAAUUCAGACGGUACCUGCAGAAGAAGCACCGGCCAACUACGUGCCAGCAGCCGCGGUAAUACGUAGGGUGCAAGCGUUGUCCGGAAUUAUUGGGCGUAAAGAGCUCGUAGGCGGUCUGUCGCGUCGGCUGUGAAAACCCUCGGCUCAACCGGGGGCCUGCAGUCGAUACGGGCAGACUAGAGUGCUGUAGGGGAGACUGGAAUUCCUGGUGUAGCGGUGAAAUGCGCAGAUAUCAGGAGGAACACCGGUGGCGAAGGCGGGUCUCUGGGCAGUAACUGACGCUGAGGAGCGAAAGCGUGGGGAGCGAACAGG